rnacentral:lncRNA from 1 species
CCUAAAACUUUAACCGUGUUAUUUCCUUUAAACCAUAAACCUUUUCUUAAACCUUAACAAACCUUAUUAUUAUUUCCUAUUUUCGCUCAUAUUUAUGUUAUUCAUACACUGUAACUGCUUCGCCCUUCUAAUAUUUUAAGUUUUAACUUGUAAUAUUUUCAGUUUUACUUUUCGCCAUCUUUAUUAUGUAACUGCACCAAAGCGUUGUAAUAAUUAGGGUUUUAUUUUCUGCCAUUUAUUUUC